CGGCGAGUGAAGCGGCACAGCUCAAAUUUGAAAUCUGGCUUCGGCCCGAGUUGUAAUUUGUAGAGGAAGAUUUAGGCGCGGCACCUUCUGAGUCCCCUGGAACGGGGCGCCAUAGAGGGUGAGAGCCCCGUAUAGUUGGAUGCCUAGCCUGUGUAAAUCUCCUUCGACGAGUCGAGUAGUUUGGGAAUGCUGCUCAAAAUGGGAGGUAAAUUUCUUCUAAAGCUAAAUAUUGGCCAGAGACCGAUAGCGCACAAGUAGAGUGAUCGAAAGAUGAAAAGCACUUUGAAAAGAGGGUUAAAUAGCACGUGAAAUUGUUGAAAGGGAAGCGCUUGUGACCAGACUUGCGCCGGGCGGAUCAUCCGGUGUUCUCACCGGUGCACUCCGCCCGGCUCAGGCCAGCAUCGGUUCUCGUGGGGGGAUAAAGGCCCUGGGAACGUAGCUCCUCCGGGAGUGUUAUAGCCCAGGGUGUAAUGCCCUCGCGGGGACCGAGGUUCGCGCAUCUGCAAGGAUGCUGGCGUAAUGGUCAUCAGCGACCCGUCUUGAAACACGGACCAAGGAGUCAAGGUUUUGCGCGAGUGUUUGGGUGUAAAACCCGCACGCGUAAUGAAAGUGAACGUAGGUGAGAGCUUCGGCGCAUCAUCGACCGAUCCUGAUGUAUUCGGAUGGAUUUGAGUAGGAGCGUUAAGCCUUGGACCCGAAAGAUGGUGAACUAUGCUUGGAUAGGGUGAAGCCAGAGGAAACUCUGGUGGAGGCUCGCAGCGGUUCUGACGUGCAAAUCGAUCGUCAAAUCUGAGCAUGGGGGCGAAAGACUAAUCGAACCAUCUAGUAGCUGGUUACCGCCGAAGUUUCCCUCAGGAUAGCAGUGUUGUCUUCAGUUUUAUGAGGUAAAGCGAAUGAUUAGGGACUCGGGGGCGCUUUUUAGCCUUCAUCCAUUCUCAAACUUUAAAUAUGUAAGAAGCCCUUGUUACUUAAUUGAACGUGGGCAUUCGAAUGUACCAACACUAGUGGGCCAUUUUUGGUAAGCAGAACUGGCGAUGCGGGAUGAACCGAACGCGGGGUUAAGGUGCCGGAGUGGACGCUCAUCAGACACCACAAAAGGCGUUAGUACAUCUUGACAGCAGGACGGUGGCCAUGGAAGUCGGAAUCCGCUAAGGACUGUGUAACAACUCACCUGCCGAAUGUACUAGCCCUGAAAAUGGAUGGCGCUCAAGCGUCCCACCCAUACCCCGCCCUCAGGGUAGAAACGAUGCCCUGAGGAGUAGGCGGCCGUGGAGGUCAGUGACGAAGCCUAGGGCGUGAGCCCGGGUCGAACGGCCUCUAGUGCAGAUCUGG
rnacentral:rRNA from 1 species